rnacentral:rRNA from 1 species
CAAUAGCGUAUAUUUAAGUUGUUGCAGUUAAAAAGCUCGUAGUUGGAUUUCGGUUAAGAGCGACCGGUCCGCCGUUUGGUGUGCACUGGUUGGUUUUAACUUCCUGUAGAGGACGUGCUCUGGGUUUAACGACCUGGACUCGGAGUCUACGUGGUUACUUUGAAAAAAUUAGAGUGUUCAAAGCGGGCUUACGCUUGAAUAUUUCAGCAUGGAAUAACACUAUAGGACUCCUGUCCUAUUUCGUUGGUCUCGGGACGGGAGUAAUGAUUAAGAGGAACAGUUGGGGGCAUUCGUAUUUCAUUGUCAGAGGUGAAAUUCUUGGAUUUAUGAAAGACGAACUUCUGCGAAAGCAUUUGCCAAGGACGUUUUCAUUAA